rnacentral:rRNA from 1 species
UACGAAGGGGGCUAGCGUUGUUCGGAAUUACUGGGCGUAAAGCGCACGUAGGCGGAUUUGUAAGUCAGGGGUGAAAUCCCGGGGCUCAACCUCGGAACUGCCUUUGAUACUGCAAGUCUCGAGUCCGAUAGAGGUGAGUGGAAUUCCUAGUGUAGAGGUGAAAAUCGUAGAUAUUAGGAAGAACACCAGUGGCGAAGGCGGCUCACUGGAUCGGUACUGACGCUGAGGUGCGAAAGCGUGGGGAGCAAACAGG